CAAAAAGAGAACAUGUAAAUCAAUAAAGAAUAUGUGAUUUAUCUUAUUUAAGCCCUGUGUUAAGUGUCCUGUGCAUAAAAUGUGUAUAAAUGCCUUUUUUAAUGUGUUGCUGAAAUGUUACGCUGGCCCUUUAAGAAACGGGACGGUAAUGCUGCGGGAAGUUUUUUGUUUACUUCCUGUGUACAGCGCGGUUCACAACGCAGUUUAGAGAGUGCACGUGCAGUGGGGAAUAUAGCAAUCCAACACAAAAAACAACAAAAUAAGAAUACUAUAGUGAGAUAUAGUGAAGCUAAAAGCUGUUGAGUGUUUUAUGUUAUUUGGAUGGCUGUGUAUUUUGCUGAUUGACAGCGAUUUCUUUUGAGAUACAUCUCGUGUGGUGUGUAAAUAGCACGGAAUUGGUUCUCAAAGAAGCAGGGGAGAAAGUGCUUCGUAAGCCUUCUGUGUGUUUCCUGUGAGUGUGAAGCAUCAGAGUAAGUGUUGUUUACCUUAAAUAAUUUCACAAAAGGGGUUCAUGUGUCAUGUACAUGCAUGUUUUAUUGAAAUGAGUGCAAUUAUAGUGUUGCUUUCAUGUCAUGUGUUCCAAAUGUAAAAGGAAAGUUCUGUAUUCUGUUUCUUUUAUAUAUGCAGAGAAAGAACGAGUCUUUCAUAUGCUGUGAUAGUGUGUGCAUGUGUCAGAGGGGUGAUAAAAAGUAAGUUUGAGACAUUGUAUUUUAAUUAAUUUUCUCUAUCAGCUUAUUUUGAAGUUAUUUACUGUGAUGUAACACUGAUGUUUAAGUGUAAGAGAAAGUGUUAUGUGGUGUAAUGAUACUUUUAAUGUUUGAGCUGUAUUAAUCACACAAAAAGAUGUAACAUGUUAUGAAUGACUGUGUUUUCAUGUAUUCUCAUGUUACUCAAGCAGCCUUAUUUAGUCUUCUGUGCAUUCAGGUGUUAUAUUCAUGUGUCUGUUUGUUUUCUAAAAAAGGGCUGCUACCGUUGUCUAUGUUAGCUAGUUAAACAAAGAGAAUUCUGUCUUUUACUAAUGUGAAUGGGAAAAAGGACAUACACAUUGUGAUAAGAGAAGAAAACUUUAUUUUUUUUAUUUUAUUUCCACAAACUUUAUUUACAAGCUUUACCUUUCCAUCUCUGCAACUCCAAAGUUUGCAAAAUUAACGCUGCACCGCCUAACGUGCAGUCUGAAAUAAAAGAUCCCCGUUUAAAUUUUA